rnacentral:rRNA from 1 species
AUUGAACGCUGGCGGAAUGCUUUACACAUGCAAGUCGAGCGGCAGCGCGGGGGCAACCUGGCGGCGAGCGGCGAACGGGUGAGUAAUACAUCGGAACGUGCCCAGACGUGGGGGGAUAACUACUCGAAAGAGUGGCUAAUACCGCAUACGAUCUGAGGAUGAAAGCGGGGGAUCGCAAGACCUCGCGCGUCUGGAGCGGCCGAUGGCAGAUUAGGUAGUUGGUGAGGUAAAGGCUUACCAAGCCUGCGAUCUGUAGCUGGUCUGAGAGGAUGAUCAGCCACACUGGGACAGAGACACGGCCCAGACUCCUACGGGAGGCAGCAGUGGGGAAUUUUGGACAAUGGGCGAAAGCCUGAUCCAGCCAUUCCGCGUGCAGGAUGAAGGCCCUCGGGUUGUAAACUGCUUUUGUACGGAACGAAAAGACUCCGGCUAAUACCUGGAGUCCAUGACGGUACCGUAAGAAUAAGCACCGGCUAACUACGUG